CUUACUUUUUUUAAAAAAGAGACAAAGGUGUCUCUCCCUUCUCUCCAAAUAGAGACCUUUAUCGGUAAUCACUAUUCCGGCGACAUUUCGGCGAAGCUCCGGCCGGGAAGGGUCAUUCUUAGGUGGAGUCACACACAUAUUUUAAUUUUCUACAAGAAAAAGAGAAGGAUUAAGAUUCAAGUGUGGUUCUUGAACCAAUUCAAGAAGAGGCUUGGAAUUCUUGAGUUGGUGAGAACUAAGAAGUUCCAAGGUUAGUUUGCUUCUAAUGUAGGUCCUCCAUAUCAGCAGAAAGGGGCGUGAUUAUGGUAGCCUGGGCGGAUGAUUGAUUUAUGUUUUGGACUUUGGGUGUCUUUUAUUUGAUUGGAUAUAUAUUUAUAUAUUAUGAGAUUGUUCCUCUGGAUUUAUAUUGGACGACCAAGAUGGUGCUUCGGAUUAUUGGGACUCUUGUGUUGGGUAGUAUGGAGGUGCCUGUGGGCCCUGAGGGUCUUGGAUUAGAUUUUUUUGGAUGUUGGAUUAUGUUUGGGUUAUGUUUAGAUAUUAUGCUAUUUUUGGAUUUUCUA